GCGCCUAUUUUCUUCUUCCAAGAUAGCGGCUGCAACAUCAUCGAAGACUAAAUAGUCUGUGACGAUAUUAUUGGUCAAGUUGAUAAUAAGUUGAUCAUACGAAUCAGGAAGACUUUGAAGUAGAAGCUCUGCACGUUCAUUUUCCUCUAUUUGAU